CCUAAUGACCUCAUUUUACCUUAACUCCCUCUUUAAAGACCCUAUGUGUAAAUACAGUCACAUUCUGAGGGACUGGGGGUUAUGACUUCAACAUGGGAAUUUCAGAGGGACACAGCUCAGCCCAAAAUACUGACCAGGAAUGGAUCAAUUUGGUGGCUCUUUGAAUAACCAUACAGAGAGAUUCCAAGUGACAGUGCGUGCAGUAAUCACACAGUACCUGCCUGGUUGAUAUGCCUGAAGGAUGAAAGGAAAUGCAGAUGAGAGAAAAAUGAUUCCAGCUAAUACACCCACUUAUCAAAUUGUACCUCCCCAGUGGAUAUGCUCUAGGGCGAAAAGGAAAUGCAGAGAGCUAUUUAUCCUUCCUGGUGCUAGGUGUUCUGCAGAAGCCGCGGGACACCUUGGCUCAGACUGACAGAGGUAAGGCAUUUUAGACGUAGAACAUAGACUUCAUGCAUCCAGGAGCUAGAUCCAAUCUUUCUCACGCCCUUAAACAUUAAGGGAGAUAAACAGUCAUCCGAACUUAUCCCAGUUUCUGUCUAGAGGUGGAUGGAGGAGCUGGGCUAGAAGUUUAUGCUAUAAUUUAUGCCCUGUGUUCCCUUGGGCCCAAUCAUGGAUCCUUCAUUCCUGGUAAUCUUUCCUUUGCUCCUGGCCCUGUCAACACCUUGCAAUGCUUGUGAUUGUAAAAUUCAGCACCCUCAGACAUAUUACUGCACAUCAGAUGUCGUCAUAUUAGCUGAUAUACAAGGACCAGGAAACAACACCGUGACAAAACAAGGUUUCAGAGUCAAUGUCAUUAAGGUAAACUCAGUACCUCCUUUCUUCUUACCUCCUUUUCUCAAAAUAAGCAAGACUAUCUGCUCUUGCUGAGAGAUUUGGAUGGUUUCUGGAGCCUAGCAACUUCUAUGUAAACCUAAGGUCCUAGUCACUCUUUCCCUCCCAUUGCAGGUACUCAAGGCUCCCAGAGGCAUCCCAACAAUCCACGAGAUCUACUCACCCAUCAGUUGGAAAGACUGUAGUUAUAGGCUGAGGACCACUCAACAAUCACUAUUACUUAUCGCAGGCUAUCUGAGCGGGGGCACAUUGUGCUUCACAAGAUGCCAUCUGGUCUAUUUCUGGUACCGGCUCACCAGAGAGCAGAGGCUAGGUUUUGAGGCAGCAUACAGAACAGGAUGCAAAUGUCAAGUGAGUAGACACCCUGGUGAUUUUUCUCUGCAGCCCAGGCACUGCUCUUGUCCCAUGUCCUUGUUCCCAGAUCUUCCUCCCUGCUGUCUCCCUCUGGAUGACCCUUGCUCUUUCACCUUCCUUCCAUUCCCUGACCUCUUCCCACUGUUUCCUUUCUGUCCUUUCCCUCCUCACUGCUCCCUUUAGCCUCUCCUUGUUGACAGACCCUUGUUGCCCUUGUCGGUCCAGGACGGAGUGUAUGAACAGCAAGUGGGCAGUUCUGUAUCUCCCUCCACACCUAGGUUCAGCCCUGCCUCCACUGCUGGCAUUCCUGCCCUCAACCUGACUUUGGAGAGUGUGUGUGGAAACAAAAAGACUGUAACUACAAGGUAUGGGAAGGAAACCAUUCCUUGUUCUCCAUGUGUGUGCCCUCCAUGAAUGGGUACUGUGAAUGGACCCGCAUCCAGAUGAACUAUCCGUACCAAACCUCGGCUCCAGCAACCUCUGUUCACUAGGCCCGGAAUCAUAUAAUAGAGUUUAAUAUUCUGUCUCCUGGUCUGGCUGCUGUUAACAGAACUGAGUUAGUUUUGUACACCUCCACUAAAUUGUACACUUAAGUUUUGUUUACUUUCUGUAAGUAGUGUACGCAUCAAUAAAACUUACAAAAACAAAUCCCAAGUUGAUAAACCACCCUGAUGACAAAUUCCCUUUAUCUUCUCUGCUCAUCAAUUAUCUUUUAUUUCUUCUUCAUCCAGCAACCUCAUGCCAGACUCUAAUCCUUCUUAUUCCACAUUCCUGACAUUUCCUCAUCCUCUCAAAGCAAGAGCCCUGGGUCCAAACAAAGGGACAGAUCCAGAUCCAAUCUGACCAAGGUCACACUCCACCUGACACACCCUUAACCUUCCCCAGAUGAUUUGCAGAACCAUAAAUCACAGGAGAAAGGAUAUUCCUUGUUCCCACAGAAUUAAGACUCACUUGCAAAUAUAAACAUUGUUCCUUG